rnacentral:rRNA from 1 species
GAUGAACGCUGGCGGCGUGCCUAAUACAUGCAAGUCGAGCGAACAGAUAAGGAGCUUGCUCCUUUGACGUUAGCGGCGGACGGGUGAGUAACACGUGGGUAACCUACCUAUAAGACUGGAAUAACUCCGGGAAACCGGGGCUAAUGCAGGAUAACAUGUUGAACCGCAUGGUUCUACAGUGAAAGGCGGCUUUGCUGUCACUUAUAGAUGGACCCGCGCCGUAUUAGCUAGUUGGUGAGGUAACGGCUCACCAAGGCAACGAUACGUAGCCGACCUGAGAGGGGGGGGGCGGACAGUGGAGGUGAGACGGCGCAGAGGGACGGAGGGACGGCCCCGGCGGGGAAGGGUGGGAAAUGGGGGAAAGACGGAAGGAGCGGAGCCAGGUGAAUGAAGAAGGGCUGCGUACGGGAAGACGGUGUUAUGGGGGAAAAACAAAUGCAGAAGGAACGGAGCGCGUCGUGACGGUACCUAAUGAAAAAGCAACGGCUAACUACGUG